rnacentral:rRNA from 1 species
UAUUUUAGCAAUAAGAUAUGAGAGUGACGUACGGGUGCGUAACACGUAUGCAACCUACCUUGUACAGGAGUAUAGCUCGGGGAAACUCGAAUUAACCCUCCAUAAUAUGGUGAUGUGGCAUCACGUUACUAUUAAAACUUUGGUGGUACAAGAUGGGCAUGCGUCUGAUUAGUUAGUUGGCGGGGUAAAGGCCCACCAAGACGAUGAUCAGUAGGGGAACUGAGAGGUUGAUCCCCCACACUGGCACUGAGAUACGGGCCAGACUCCUACGGGAGGCAGCAGUAGGGAAUAUUGGUCAAUGGAUGGAAGUCUGAACCAGCCAUGCCGCGUGCAGGAAGAAGGCCUUCUGGGUUGUAAACUGCUUUUGCCAGGGGAUAAAAAGUCCCUGCGGGGAAAAUUGAAGGUACCUGGUGAAUAAGCCACGGCUAACUACGUGCCAGCAGCCGCGGUAAUACGUAGGUGGCGAGCGUUGUCCGGAUUUAUUGGGUUUAAAGGGUGCGUAGGCGGCUUUGUAAGUCAGUGGUGAAAUACUCUAGCUCAACUAGAGAGGUGCCAUUGAUACUGCGGAGCUUGAGUACAGAUGAGGUAGGCGGAAUUGACGGUGUAGCGGUGAAAUGCAUAGAUAUCGUCAAGAACACCGAUAGCGAAGGCAGCUUACUGGGCUGUAACUGACGCUGAGGCACGAAAGUGUGGGGAUCAAACAGGAUUAGAUACCCUGGUAGUCCACACUGUAAACGUUGAUUACUCCCUGUUUGC